GUUAUUGUAGCUUACCCACUCUAAAGCACAGCACUGAAAAUGCUGAGACGGUGACACACCCAUAUAACA
rnacentral:tRNA from 1 species